UACGUGGGGGGCAAGCGUUGUUCGGAAUUACUGGGCGUAAAGGGCUCGUAGGUGGCCAACUAAGUCAGACGUGAAAUCCCUCGGCUUAACCGGGGAACUGCGUCUGAUACUGGAUGGCUUGAGUUUGGGAGAGGGAUGCGGAAUUCCAGGUGUAGCGGUGAAAUGCGUAGAUAUCUCGAGGAACACCGGUGGCGAAGGCGGCAUCCUGGACCAACACUGACACUGAGGAGCGAAAGCCAGGGGAGCAAACGGG
rnacentral:rRNA from 1 species